AGCUGUGGUCCCCCCCUCUCCCUCAGUCUCACUUGGCCCAGGGGUUGGUGUGAUCCCCAGAGGAGAUGGAGCUGUGGUCCCCCCCUCUCCCUCAGUCUCACUUGGCCCAGGGGUUGGUGUGAUCCCCAGAGGAGAUGGAGCUGUGGUCCCCCCCCUCUCCCUCAGUCUCACUUGGCCCAGGGGUUGGUGGAGGCAGAGUAAGAUUGGAUUCAACCAUUGUCAACAUACUGUACAUCAAGUUGAAUUCCUUUUUAUUUGAACUGCAGUUUCAACUAGGACAUCCACCAUGGCUCUCGACCUCCCUCUUCUCUGAGAGUCCUAUGGUGGGAAAUAUACGUUGACUUGAGUUCUCCAGACACAGAUCAGAAGUGGCCUCCUAUGGCCCAGCAGAAGUUGUCUGUGAGAAGUAAUCAUGAAAUCACUGUGACUGAAAUGGUCAAGAAGUUUGGGUCGCCUGCUGUCGUUGACAGAGAGGAGUCCAAUCACCCUCUUUAUGAAGAGGUUUUGGUUACGCAGGAAACGCGUACGGGUGGCCAAAGUGACAGGAGUGGGUAGCUCCAGUGCCAUAGAGACCAGAAGUAAGGCAUCGGGGAUGUUCCAAGGCUUCGCUCUGGGCAUGGAUAUCUACUUCACGAAGCAAGAGGAUGCUCCAAGGCUUCGCUCUGGGCAUGGAUAUCUACUUCACGAAGCAAGAGGAUGCUCCAAGGCUUCGCUCUGGGCAUGGAUAUCUACUUCACAGAGCAAGAGGAUGCUCCAAGGCUUCGCUCUAGGCAUGGAUAUCUACUUCACGAAGCAAGAGGAUGCUCCAAGGCUUCGCUCUGGGCAUGGAUAUCUACUUCACGAAGCAAGAGGAUGCUCCAAGGCUUUGCUCUGGGCAUGGAUAUCUACUUCACAAAGCAAGAGGAUGGUCCAAGGCUUCGCUCU